rnacentral:lncRNA from 1 species
AUGGCCAGGACUGUACCUGGCGUUCCUCCCACCCGGCAUUCCUCUGAUGUCUCCCCAGGCAGCAGAGGCGAGGAGGAGGAGGCUGACCUCCGGCUGCAUGCCUGUGUUUUCUCUAGUGCCCCAGAUGGAGACCUUGAAGAAGGAGGUGAUGAGUUCAGUGGUUCUGCUGAUACAGAAAAAUCCGAGACCUUUGUUCUCCCUGAAGGCCUACAGAGAAAAGGCAUUUGGAAAAAAUGCCCUAAGGCUGUUAUAAGCCCCACAUCCCAUCGCCUCCCCGCACCCUGUCGUCAGUCGAAUGUGGGCCCGCUGUGGAUGUGGGAGGUGCCCCAGAUGUUGCAGAUCCUGGAUGGUGAGGACUUGCUUGAAAGGGAGGAGGAGUGGGGCUGGGCUGUGGGGCCGACUGUGGAAGGGAUGAAGUUCCAAGCUGAGGGACGGACUUUCCUCUGGGUGAGGACGGGAGCAGCCUCCCUGUCCCUCUGGAGUGUCAUCUGGGUGGAUCUGCUCAUGUGGGCCAUGCUGUAUGCUGGGCAGACAUGCAGUCCAGAGUCCUGUGGCUCCCGUCUCUUCUUGCAGAUGGAGGACCUGGGAAGAUUGUGGGCUUUGAACCAGACACAGCCGUGUCUGGCCCCUGCCUAUCCCUUGGCCUCCAGCAUCCCUCUCUGUAAUAUGAAGUCCCCUCUCCGCAGUGGCAUUCCUGCUCGGCUCUCUGGUCUCACCUUGGUCUCAUCCCGGAUCUUAGGAAGUUCCUGUCGCUCUUGGAGCUGGAUGGCAGAACAGAGCUGCUGCUCACCUGCUACUGGAGUGUGCUCUGCCUGCCCCCGUCAGAAGUGAUGCAAAAGGAGGUGUGCAGACCCACAGAGGGGCAGGCCAGUGUGGUAAUGAGCUCUUUGAAGGCUGUCAACUGUUGUUGUUUUUGAGAGGGUAGAGGUUGUAGGCUUGACAGUUUUAUGUAAGGCUUUCUUGUCAUCUCUAAGAAAAACAAAAAGGAAGGUCUCAUCGGAGGAAGGGGCUGCUAGGUGAGGCAGCCUCACCUCCACCCAGGAGAUUAUCAUUCUUCCGCAGGGCACUCACUGAUGAUCACUGUCCCCCUGGAAUCUUCUGGCUCAAAGGUGGACACUGACGCCCUCCCUUUGUUUAUUUCAUUGCUAUUAUUAUUGUUAUUGAGAUGGAGUCUCACUCUGUCACCCAGGCUGGAACGCAGUGGUGCAGUCUUGGCUCACUACAAUCUCCGCCUCCCGGGUUCAAGCGAUUCUCCUGCCUCAGCCUCCUGAGUAGCUGGGAUUACAGGCAUGCGCCACCACGCCCAGCUCAUUUUUGUAUUUUUAGUAGAGAUGGGGUUCACCGUGUUGGCAGGAUGGUCUCGAAUCUCCUGACCUCAUGGUCUGCCCACCUUGGCCUCCCAAAGUGCUGGGAUUACAGCGUG